rnacentral:lncRNA from 1 species
GUUAAAUUCUCCACCUACAAGACUUCUUAAAAUUUGCAUAGGUUAAUUUCCAUGAGACUCUCAAAGAAAGGAGUAGGAUAUCAGAAAGUUUGAAAUUUAUUUGACUACUAGUACAUUAGUUUUUCAUGGAGUAUGAGACAGGACAAGGGUACUACAUAAUAUAUUGGUGUAGAAAGCAGAUUACAAUCCCUGGAGUGUACAUUUUCAAAGAAACUUCACAUCCAUAUCCCUUAGAAAAGUAAGGACCCAACUUUACUCUCACUGGGCAGUAACUGUAGAUGUUGGAUGGAUACUGAUUGUCAUAAUACCAGGCACCAAAGAUGCUGCUGGAAAGAGGUCUGCAAUCUAAUUAUCACCAGCUUGAGCCCUAAAUUACUAAUCAUCUAUUACUCUAUCAGUUCUGUUCACUUUCACAUGUUGCUUGCUUGCAGAAGUUCAAGACGGGGGUUAAAUAACCACGUGCUCCUAGCUACUGGCCAUAGCUAUCACAUGGUCCAGUCUCCAAGUUGGGGGGUGGAUGCCAUGUUGAAACUUCACAUUACCUUAAGCUCAUUAUAAUUUCAUUGUGAUGAUUUAAAAAGCACAUCCACUGGCACCAGGACAGAUCCACCAUGAUGCCCCAAAUUAGUGAAGAACAGAGGUAGUAUCCUGAUCCCUGGAUAUCUUCUCCCCUUUCUGUCAAAAGUUCUGAUGACAGUACGCAUAUCACACCCCUCAUAACCCAGCCCCAGUAAAAAAGAAAAAAAGAGACCCCAGACCUGCUCCAGGAGAAGACUCCCAAAGAACCUGAGGUCUUCUUUUCCAUACAUUGAUGGUUGGGUAAAAUUUCCUGCCUGUUCCUCCCAGUAGAGAUCUUCUUUCCAGGAGGUAUACGAUGAAAGUAAACUUGGGCAGGGCCUGGAAGGUUAAGUAGAAGAGAGGAAAAUAUCUGGAAUACGACUGAAUAACACAGAUAAGAAUACAAGGCUCUGAAUGAUAAUGUUUUUAGGAAGCAGUGAGACAGCCCAGGCAGGCUGGGGAGAGGUGGGAAGUGAGUCCCGAUAGAACGUGGUGGUAUGAUGUCAAACUAUUUGAGAGCAGGGACUGUAGCUUUUAUAACACCCUUCCAAAUAUAUAACUUAAACACAGAAGGCCCAAAUAAACAGAUGUUUAUAUAUUGAAUUACACUGAAUAUAAUGAGCCAUAUAUUUAUGUAUCUCAGAAUAAAUUCAUUGAACAAUGACAUAGCAUUUUACCUUUUAUAGGAAAGACCCUAGGUUUGUGGACUGCAGGAAGUGAGGAAAGAAAUAAAAGACUAGAAACACGGGAUAUCUGGGGGCAGAAGUUACCAAAAUAGAGCUCUGUAAUGAUAAUGAUAGCUGGAGAAUUUAGAGGAAGGGCUGAAUUGGUAAAACAAGAGCCUGAGGGCAUUGAACUUCUCUGGGACAACAAGGCAAGAAGAAAAGAAGAUUAUCAAAGAGAAGUAGAAUGUCUUUACUUGAGUAGAAAAUGGAAUUUUAUUUUAAAGAGGAUUUGGGGUUUUAGAAUAGGUCCUGCCAUUAAAUAAUGUACAUCAUCUAGAGCUUUGCUACUCAAAGGAUUGCUCCCAAGCUGGUACAAAUCCUCAAGUUGUGUUUCUCAUCAGCAAUGAAUAAAUAUUAGAGUUGUGGGAAAGCCACAUGAACUGACUAGACAUCCAAGCAAGUGAUUAUUUUCUAGUAAUUAACAUUUAUUUCAUUUUUACAAAUGUAUCAACUUAAAUAAUGUUAACAAAACAAUAGUGUUUCACCACAGAUGGGUUGAGAAGUAGAAUCUAGAGAUAAUUCGCACAUGCUUUUAGGAGUAUGUCUUCUCUCUCAGCCAGUUUUUGUUCUGUAUUAAAACAAGUAAUCACUUCUUUGUUAGAGAGAAAGCUGGUUUGCACCUAUAAGAUGGCUGUUUAAUUAGGUUAUGCAUCAAAUUGUUAGAAGUCAUACUUGGCAUAGGGAGGUGCUCCCACUUGGAGAAACACAGACAACAACUGGGAGAAACUGGAGUUACCCCAUUCAUUCCCACUGAGUAAAAUAACAGGAAGAAUUCUCAGCCUUGGACAAAUUAUUGUCUCAUUCUAUCUUGCUUUCCUACUUCCCAUUCCAUCCUUUAUAUUGGCCACAUGCACUUAAUAUUUUGCCACUACACAAUGUGACUUCAUUGUAUAGGAUCUUUGUUCACAAAAUACUCUAGCAUUUUCUUUUUUGAUGUGUUCAUCCUAACAGAAACAAAGGUAGGCAUAAGCUGCCACCACUAUCCCAUUUUAGAGAAGAAGACACUGAUACACAGAGAAGAUACCUUUGGAACCCACAUCUUCUGAUUGCCUGCUAAGCGGUCUUGACUUUUGGCCAAAGUAGGAAGCAGCUGGGCACAGUCUCAUAGGUUCCAAAGUACUUUAAAACUGUAAAUGAAGCAGUGUGUGGAGCCAGUAUGGAAUCUGGCAGAAGCUAGAAGGCUCUCACCAAUGGCCAAACACAGGCACCCACCCAGUCUUGAACUUUUAAUUUCAAAAACUGCAAGGUAAAUAAAUCUCCUUUCUUUACAAAGUACUCGGUGUUGAACAUUUUGUUAUAGCAGCAGAAAAUUGUCUAAUAAAGUUCCUAACCUAAUGAACAUUUUAUUUAAGAGUUUGCCUUCUUGUUUGUUCCCUUUGUUUGAAGUAUUAGUUUUGAUACC